GGACGCAAAGAUGGAGGCUCAAAUGAGAUAGUGGAUACCAUAAGGUGGGUUUGUGAAGACUACCCAGAAAUGAAACUGGCCAUGCAGAAUCACAUACUAAAUGACUAUGACACCAAGAGCUACGAGAGCAUGAAGAAUCUGUGUGACAAAUAUAACAGAGCAAUAGCCAGCAUCAGACAAUUGGUGAG